GCAACCCACUCCAGUCCCCUUACACGUUAUGGAAGAUUUGUUUUUUUACUUUUUGCAAUAAAUCUUGCUGCUGCUCACUCUUUGGGUCUGCACUGCCUUUAUGAGCUGUGACACUCACUGCGAAGGUCUGCAGCUUCACUCCUGAGGCCAGCAAGACCACAAGCCCACUGGGAGGAACGACCAAAGGCGCGCCAGCUCCAAGGCGCGCCAGCUCCAGGUGCCCCGGCUUGAAGGUCUGCGGCUUCACUGCUGAAGCCAGCGAGACCACGAACCCACCAGAAGGAAGAAAUUCCGAACACGUCUGAACAUCACAAGGAAGAAACUCCGGACACACCGCUUUUAAGAAUGGGAACACUCACCGCGAGGGUCCACGGCUUCAUGUUUGAAGUCAGUGAGACCAAGAACCCACAAAUUCCGGACACGCUAUUUUGGAUUAUAACUACACAUUUCACUUGAAAUGUUGGUAGAUUAAUUGUACUUCCAUUUUUAUACGCUUUAAUUUUGAACUGACAAUGUUUACAUUGAUGCAAUGCAAAGGAAAAGAGAAAGCAUCCUUGUCAUAUUAGAGAAAACUUCGAACAGUUAAAAUUUUAUGGAACGUUGGAGGCAGACAUAGACACAAAGAAAAUGUCAAGCGGGAAUAAAGGCAGACAUCAGGGUGAUGCUUCUACAAGCCAAGAACACCAAGAUU
rnacentral:lncRNA from 1 species